GUAGGUGGCAAGCGUUGUCCGGAAUUAUUGGGCGUAAAGCGCGCGCAGGUGGUUCUUUAAGUCUGAUGUGAAAGCCCCCGGCUCAACCGGGGAGGGUCAUUGGCAACUGGGGAACUUGAGUGCAGGAGAGGAAAGUGGAAUUCCACGUGUAGCGGUGAAAUGCGUAGAUAUGUGGAGGAACACCAGUGGCGAAGGCGACUUUCUGGCCUGUAACUGACACUGAGGCGCGAAAGCGUGGGGAGCAAACAGGGAUUAGAUACCCUGGUAGUCCACGCCGUAAACGAUGAGUGCUAAGUGUUGGGGGGGUUUCCGCCCCCUCAGUGCUGCAGCUAACGCAUUAAGCACUCCGCCUGGGAGUACGGUCGCAAGACUG
rnacentral:rRNA from 1 species